GUAUGUGUGUCAACGCUUAUCUUAAACAGAUAAAGGUGGUAAUAUGCACCAUUUGUUUAUAAACAUUCAACAUGAGAGGAUUUAUACUGUGUGCUGUGCUUGGCAUCGUCUUGGCGGAGUUUCAAAAUAGCAAGUAUGAAAGGCGCCUGGAUGGAUACCGAUUUCAGUACCAUGAUGAUACGGGACAUUAUUUGGCGAUAAAGGGGAUGGAUUGUUAUGUAGCUGAUGUUCCUGUUGACAGUGAACUACAGACGAAGCUUCAAGAUAAUGAUCAUUUAGAUGAUUUAGAAAGAAAGGUCAUUAAUGUGAUAAAAUCAGGAACUGGUUUGAAUCGUGUUGACCUGCAAACCAUUGUGGAUAGAUAUCAAGAUACACUGACCCGAGCUUUGUGUUUUCGAUCUACUAUGUACAUCAUGGAUUUAUCUGGAAAGAUUUAACAAAAUUUAUUUUGACAUUCAUAAAUACAAAAUGAACCUUGAAUAAAAGAAAUAUCUCAGUU